rnacentral:rRNA from 1 species
GAUGAACGCUGGCGGCGUGCCUAAUACAUGCAAGUCGAGCGAACGGACGAGAAGCUUGCUUUUCUGAUGUUAGCGGCGGACGGGUGAGUAACACGUGGAUAACCUACCUAUAAGACUGGGAUAACUUCGGGAAACCGGAGCUAAUACCGGAUAAUAUUUUGAACCGCAUGGUUCAAAAGUGAAAGACGGUCUUGCUGUCACUUAUAGAUGGAUCCGCGCUGCAUUAGCUAGUUGGUAAGGUAACGGCUUACCAAGGCAACGAUGCAUAGCCGAUCUGAGAGGGUGAUCGGCCACACUGGAACUGAGACACGGUCCAGACUCCUACGGGAGGCAGCAGUAGGGAAUCUUCCGCAAUGGGCGAAAGCCUGACGGAGCAACGCCGCGUGAGUGAUGAAGGUCUUCGGAUCGUAAAACUCUGUUAUUAGGGAAGAACAUAUGUGUAAGUAACUGUGCACAUCUUGACGGUACCUAAUCAGAAAGCCACGGCUAACUACGUG